rnacentral:misc_RNA from 1 species
CUGCAUAGAUGGUUGGGAUUAGCUAAAUAAACAAAUCCUUACAGCAUGUUAGAGUUUUCAUUUUUUUUUUUUAUUCAAGUUCAGAGUUAUGCAAAAGCACAAAGGUCAAGGCAGACCUCACAUAAGCAAAACCCAACUGAAUUUACUAAAAGCAAAUGAUAUAGACAAAGCUACAGGAGAUCUUAAAGCGAGAGGAGAGAGAACUUUAAAUGCCCAAGAGAACCCCAUAGGAACAGAUUUUUUUCACGUACGCUCUUCUCAGCUUAAACUAAGCAGCCAUAACAUCCUAAACUCAUUCAAAGUUUCCUUGCUUGCAAAAGCAACAAAAACAAAGACAGAAGCCACAUUUUGUGAAAGA